ACGGAAUAAUCCAGUGAAAAUUGGUCUAAUACCGUAUGAGGUCAUACGAUGGCAUCAGAAUAUGACGAAAGGUUUUAGCGGUCGAAGGAUGGGGAUGCGUCUGAUUAGCUUGUUGGUGAGGUAACGGCUCACCAAGGCGACGAUCAGUAGCCGGUCUGAGAGGAUUGAACGGCCACAUUGGGACUGAGACACGGCCCAGACUCCUACGGGAGGCAGCAGUGGGAAUCUUCCGCAAUGGACGAAAGUCUGACGGAGCAACGCCGCGUGAACGAUGACGGCCUUCGGUUGUAAACUGCUUUUAUAAGGAAUAAAGUGAGAGUCGUGACUCUUUUUGCAUGUACCUUAUGAAUAAGGACCGGCUAAUUCCGUG
rnacentral:rRNA from 1 species